rnacentral:rRNA from 1 species
UACAGAGGGUGCGAGCGUUAAUCGGAAUUACUGGGCGUAAAGCGUGCGUAGACGGCUAUCUAAGUCGGGUGUGAAAGCCCCGGGCUCAACCUGGGAAUUGCAUUCGAGACUGAAUAGCUAGGGUGCGGUAGAGGGAAGCGGAAUUUCCGGUGUAGCGGUGAAAUGCGUAGAUAUCGGAAGGAACAUCAGUGGCGAAAGCGGCUUCCUGGACCAGCACCGACGUUCAGGCACGAAAGCGUCGGGGAGCAAACAGG